AGCGAUGUAGUGUAACAGUAACAUUAUAGAGUCAUAAUCUAUAGAUCUACGUGCAAUUCGUAGCAUCGCAACCA
rnacentral:tRNA from 1 species